GACGAACGCUGGCGGCGUGCCUAAUACAUGCAAGUCGAACGAGAGCGACCGGUGCUUGCACUGGUCAAUCUAGUGGCGAACGGGUGAGUAACACGUGGGUAACCUGCCCAUCAGAGGGGGAUAACAUCCGGAAACGGAUGCUAAAACCGCAUAGGUCUUCGAACCGCAUGGUUUGAAGAGGAAAAGAGGCGCAAGCUUCUGCUGAUGGAUGGACCCGCGGUGCAUUAGCUAGUUGGUGAGGUAACGGCUCACCAAGGCCGUGAUGCAUAGCCGACCUGAGAGGGUGAUCGGCCACAUUGGGACUGAGACACGGCCCAAACUCCUACGGGAGGCAGCAGUAGGGAAUCUUCCGCAAUGGACGCAAGUCUGACGGAGCAACGCCGCGUGAGUGAAGAAGGUUUCCGGAUCGUAAAACUCUGUUGUUAGAGAAGAACAAGUGCUAGAGUAACUGUUAGCGCCUUGACGGUAUCUAACCAGAAAGCCACGGCUAACUACGUG
rnacentral:rRNA from 1 species